GACGAACGCUGGCGGCGUGCUUAACACAUGCAAGUCGAACGGAAAGGCCCUGCUUUUGUGGGGUGCUCGAGUGGCGAACGGGUGAGUAACACGUGAGUAACCUGCCCUUGACUUUGGGAUAACUUCAGGAAACUGGGGCUAAUACCGGAUAGGAGCUCCUGCUGCAUGGUGGGGGUUGGAAAGUUUCGGCGGUUGGGGAUGGACUCGCGGCUUAUCAGCUUGUUGGUGGGGUAGUGGCUUACCAAGGCUUUGACGGGUAGCCGGCCUGAGAGGGUGACCGGCCACAUUGGGACUGAGGUACGGCCCAGACUCCUACGGGAAGCAGCAGUGGGGAAUAUUGCAAAAUGGGCGGGAGCCUGAUGCAGCAACGCCGCGUGCGGGAUGACGGCCUUCGGGUUGUAAACCGCUUUCGCCUGUGACGAAGCGUGAGUGACGGUAAUGGGUAAAGAAGCACCGGCUAACUACGUG
rnacentral:rRNA from 1 species